CUGACCACGUGGAAAGCUGCAGAGAAAUGGGCCAGGAGGCCUGAACUCAGCGUCUACCUAAGUCUGGCCUUUGGCCUUGGCCUUCCUGCACACUGGGCUCCAGACUCAGCUGUGGACUUCCUGAGUAGGGCCAACCCUUCAGCGAUGUGGGAUUGCCUACAGCUCUAAAAUUCCGUCUCUGUUUCUGAUGUCCUGGCUCAGUCCCCCCACCUGGAAGAAGACGGAGGGAAGGAGUGAUGGAAAAGGUUGGCCACAUUCCUGGCGCCUUCAGGGGCGAACGGCAUUCGGUCUGGCUCUCUGCCAGCUGCCCACUCUUUCCACUCGGGGCACAAGAGCAAGUCGCCUCCUUGGCAACCACUGAGACUGUGAGGUCCUGCUCAUAGGCUCUGAGCAUCAUUAGAAGGCACAGGGAACUCCAAGGUGGGUAACACAGGCAUAGGGGGGGAGCUUCAGAAAACACUGCAAUUCUCCUGAAUCUUCUCAUUUGGACCUUGAUGUGGGGUGUCUGUGAAAAUACCAGCCCUGAUACCAAAAGCUGUGUUCAUCUAGGAGCUCAGAACCCCAGCCAAGGGAAUGGUGCCACCCGUAGUGGGGAAGGUAUUCCUGCACCCAUGGAUCUAAUCAAGAGCAUUCCCCACAGGCAUGCUCAGGGGCCAUCACCCAGGCAACAUCUUGACCUCACCCUAUUCCUCAUCCCCACUGGAUCCAGGGUCUGUGAGUAUGGCUUCCUGGUGACUUCAUCUAUUACAGGACCCUGUCAAGCCUGCUCUCCCUCCUACCCCUUACCCCAGCAGGGGAGGGCUCCAGGGUGCUCCCUAUCUUGGGCUCCUUGGGGGCUUUAGGUUUGUUCCUCCUCCUUCUGUACUCAGGUGUCAGGCCUAAGAGCCAGGCCCACACAGCUGCCACCUGCAGAGAGGGCUUGGAGAGACAUGUUUGCCCUGGGGAGCCUCACCAUGAGCACCCUGGGGAGAACUACGAUUUCUGUUGUUUAGUUAAUUUUCCAAGCUGUUGGGAAGUGUGUUUAGAGAGCUCAGAUAUUUGUUUUAAGUUGUUGUCCUCCUGCACAACUGAAAGGGAGUGGAUACCUGUUCCACAUACAAGGAGUAGAUGGAGGGUCGGACAAGCAGUGGGACUAAAACCGGCUCCCUGAGCCAGAAAAUCAGGGCCUAGACCACUCAGCCCUCAACCUGUGCUCUAAUCUCCAACCUUGACCCCAUAACCCUUGACCCACGGCCAGGUUUAGGUGUGCAGGACAGAGAAGGGCCACACACUAUUCCUACUGACCCACAAUUCAGUCGGCAGGCAAAGCCUUAUGUUGGGACAUGUGGGGACUGAACCUCCUCAGUGCUACUCUCUCUCUCUAAAAGAUUCAUGUUAUUUUUAAAGAUUUAUUUUACUUUUUAAAUUUGUGGAUGUGUGGGGGUAUAUACGUGUGAGCGCAGUGUCCUUGGAAGCCAGUAGAGGGCGUCAGAUCCACUGGAGCUGAAGUUGCAGACCAUUGUGGCUUCAUGAGGACGCUGAGAGCUGAUCCAGGUCUUCCUUAAGAGCAGUUAGUGCACUUAACCCCUGAGUCGUCUCUCUAGUUCUUAUUUUUCUUAUUUGACUUUCCUUCUUUUGCCUAUCUUUCCCACUUUGGAGGGUGGUGAACAGGGUCUCCUGUGAGUUUCCUAGGUGAGCCUCCAAUUCCUGGUCCUCCUGUCUCAGCUUCUUGAGUGCUGGCUCACAAGCAAAUGUCACCAUGCCUAGCUUCUUGGACAUCCCAGUAGCCUCGACACAAGGUACCCUUUAUGUGGCAACUGGGGUUCAGAGACACUCUGUGUCAUAUGUGUGACCAUAUCUAAUUUGGGAGAAUAAAAAAAAAUGAGACCAGGUAUGUGAAGUCCAUGGAAAGACUGUCCUGAAAUCUAUGGCUGAGAACCCCACUACCUCCUGGGCCCACCGCACUGCACUCUGGUUUGCUGAGUUGGGCUCUUGCAGGCUACCUACAGCACGCUUAGCAGUGACUUUGGAGCUAAAAUAAAAUGUGGUAGUUUCCACAGGCUUGUUUUGUUGGGCUUGAUUUGAAUGGAAGAAGUUUUGAAGUUUGGGACUCCUGUAAUCUUCAUGUCACUGAGAGGUUUUGAGACAGGGUUUCAUUAUGUCACCCAGCCUGGUGUUGAACCUGCCAUCGUCCUGCCUGUCUCCAGAGUGCUGGGAUGACAAUUACCAAUAUGUUUUACCUGAAUUGGUGGAAAGCUAGCACGGAGUCUGUGAACGUUGCUGCCUGCAGGCUGUUGGAAUGCUCUCCUCUGCUCUGUCGUCUUGAUUGCUCACAACCAGGUCUCAGCCCACGCACUCCCGGAGCCCUGACAGACACCACACACCUGUUCCUCUUUAUAUUUGAGGACAAGAGUGGAGGUAGCCACCUUGCGGUGGAGCCUGGAUUCAGCUCCCCCACGUCUUGACCCAGCCACAGCUUAGCUGAGCGUACAGCCUGCCUGUUGGUCAGUGAAGAAACAAACAGGGUAGUGAAUGGUACUACCUACCACCACCUGACAGGGUCUCCAUAUACUGCCCAGGUUGGCUGUGAACUUAGGGUAAUCUUCCUGUUGCGAAUGCAGUCAGGUGCACAUCUUGCGGGUUCUUGAGACAUCCUACCGCGAACUGAGCAGCUGCCUGCAAGGUCCAUGCCACAGUGAGUGCUGGAUAAAGGCUUGGCCAAGGCGGAGGUCAGCAGACAGUGCCCACAGCCUCAGAUAAUUGUUUGUGCUACUAGGUGGGUCAAGGGCAGAGAUUUUCAGUCCAAGGAAGAGCACUGGAGAAAGCUUUUGCAGGGGUGGUAGGAACAGUGGCCCCAAAGCCAUGGAGAGCUAUGGCCAAGCCAGGCUUCUGCUGAGUCCUCACUGGCCUCUCUGUGCUGGACUGCUGAGCAUCUUGCCAUCACCCCCCAUGGACUCUGUGCUUUCAUUUAUACGGCUCAUAGGCAGCACUGACAGACUGCAGACUCCCCCAAUACCCAUUUCCCUCACCAUUUAUCUCCUUUGAUCAGAAACAUGGAGGGCAGGGGCACCCCAGGUAAAUCAAGCAUUUCCUGUCUCCCAAAAUGGGUUUGCAAAAGCUUAUUUCAUGCCAUUACCAUUUUUUUCUGCUUUGAACA